ensembl:lncRNA
UUUCACGUUCCGUUUGUUGUUUUGUAUUAUUCGUUUGUUCAUUUUAUUAAAGAACAUGAGUAACCACCACGCUGCAUUUUGGUCCGCUCCUCUUUCAACAGACGAACGACGUUACAGCUGUCCUGAUAUCCAGAAGCUCUUUUUAUCACAAGAUACGGUUGCAGAAACAUUAUGCAUCUCCACAUGGGGUCCCGGCCCCUAGUUUGGGAACCGCUGAAUUAAAUGUAUUCAGCGCACGCAAGGGAACCAUACCUGCAAACCUGCAUAAGGAAAGACGACUGCUUCUCCUCCUCUCUAGCCCACCCUAGAAGUCGUAUGUGGAAGAAGAUUUAACAGAAAACAGAGGACAGAUUUAACAGAAAACAGAGGAAAAUAAAUAUUUAUUUU